rnacentral:snRNA from 1 species
AUGUUCGCUUUGGCAGCACCUAUACUAAAAUUGGAAUGAUAACAGAAGAUUAGCGUGGCCUCUGUGCAAGGAUGACAUGCAAAUUCGUGAAGCGUUCCAUAUUAAA